GGGGGGAGCAAACGUUUGUUCGGAAUCACUGGGCGUAAAGGGCGCGUAGGCGGCCCGGCAAGUGGUGUGUGAAAUGCCCUGGCUCAACCAGGGAACUGCGCAUCGAACUGCCGGGCUCGAGGUCAGUAGAGGAAGCUGGAAUUCUUGGUGUAGCGGUGAAAUGCGUAGAUAUCAAGAGGAACACCGUUGGCGAAGGCGAGCUUCUGGGCUGCACCUGACGCUGAGGCGCGAAAGCUGGGGGGGAGCAAACAGGAUUAGAUACCCUGGUAGUCCCAGCCGUAAACGGUGAACACUGGGUGUGGGGGGGUGUCGACCCCUUUCCGUGCCGAAGCUAACGCAUUAAGUGUUCCGCCUGGGGAGUACGGUCGCAAGGCUG
rnacentral:rRNA from 1 species